GAGGCUUAGCUCAGCUGGGAGAGCAUCUGCCUUACAAGCAGAGGGUCGGGGGUUCGAUCCCCUCAGCCUCC
rnacentral:tRNA from 10 species